CCUACGGGAGGCAGCAGUGGGGAAUAUUGGACAAUGGGCGAAAGCCUGAUCCAGCCAUGCCGCAUGUGUGAAGAAGGCCUUCGGGUUGUAAAGCACUUUCAGUGGGGAAGAAAGCCUUGGGGCUAAUACCCUCGAGGAAGGACAUCACCCACAGAAGAAGCACCGGCUAACUCCGUGCCAGCAGCCGCGGUAAUACGGAGGGUGCGAGCGUUAAUCGGAAUUACUGGGCGUAAAGCGCGCGUAGGCGGUCUGAUAAGCCGGUUGUGAAAGCCCCGGGCUCAACCUGGGAACGGCAUCCGGAACUGUCAGGCUAGAGUGCAGGAGAGGAAGGUAGAAUUCCCGGUGUAGCGGUGAAAUGCGUAGAGAUCGGGAGGAAUACCAGUGGCGAAGGCGGCCUUCUGGACUGACACUGACGCUGAGGUGCGAAAGCGUGGGUAGCAAACAGGAUUAGAUACCCGUGUAGUC
rnacentral:rRNA from 1 species